rnacentral:lncRNA from 1 species
AUCCCUGGCCUAGCUCAGUGGGUUAAGGAUCUGGUAUUGCCACAAGCUGUGACACAGGUCACAGAUGUGUCUUGGAUCUAGUGUUGCUGUGGGGCGUAGGCCUCAAUUGCAUCUCUGAUUCAACCCCUGGCCCAGGAACCUCCAUAUGCGUCAGGGGUAGCCACAAAAAGAAAAAAAAAAAAAAGCCACUAUAUAUGAAAAAGCAAAAGAAACAAAUCUGAAAUUAUACACUACCCAGAGAUCAAAAAGGAUCAUGCUUUAUAUAGGAAUUUAGGGGUAUAGCUAAAGCUGCAUUUAAGGAAAAUUAUAGAUUUAAAUGCUUUUAUUAUUAAAAAAUGAAAACCGAAAAUAAAAUGGUCAAAUUUUAAUAAGGAAAAGGAAUAUAUACAAUGGAAUAUUACUCAGCCAUAAAAAGAACACAGUAAUAUUAUGCCAUUUGCAGCAACAUAGAUGGACCUAGAGAUUAUCAUACUAAGUGAAAUAAGUCACAAAGACAAAAAUCAUAUAUCAGUUGUAUGUGGAAUCUAAAAAAUGAUCCAAAUGAACUUAUUUACAAAACAUAAACAGACUUCAAAAACAAACCUAUGGCUACCAAAGUGGAAUGGUGUGGGGGAGGGAAGGAUUGGGAGCUUGGGAUGGUAUAUGUACACUAUGAUAUAUAGAAUGGGUGGUCCUCAAGGAUCUGCUAUAUAGCACAGGGAAAUCUACUUAAUAUUCUGUGAUAAACUUUAUGGGAAUGGAUACAUGUAUAUAUAUAACUGAAUCAGUUUGCUGUAUAGCAGAGAUUAACCUUAUAAGUCAACUAUACUUCGAUAAGAAAUUUUUAAAAAGGAGAUAUAAAAUAGGAGCUUUUUCACUUUUUUUGCUUUUUUUCACUGUGAUAAUGACUACUUAACACUACAACAAACAAUACAAUUAGCUGUAAAACUUGCGCUUUAACAAUAAAAUCAGAAAAUAGUAAUUUGAUCACUAUGCCUACUAUUAGUCAGCAUUGCUUUGAUGAUUCCAACUAAUACUCUAAGACGUAAUAAUGGCAUAAGCAGUCUAACCUUUAAUAAAAUAGUAGGAAACUUAGCAUUAUUCAUAGGUGAUACCAUAGAACACUACAAAUUCCAAGAAAAGUAUAGUAAUAUACUAUAGAACUAGUGAGUUAGUUGGAUAAAAGAGUUAAUAGUCAGUAGACAUAAAAUCUAAACAAACAAAAAAGAAAAAAAUCCAUUACCCUCGUUUACCACCUUCAUGAACCCCUGGAAAAAGACAAAUGAAUAAGCAAACAAACAAAAUCUCUCUAAUCUUCCUGAGCCACCACCAAGUGCAUCUUUUAAAAAGAACAAAUUUAAAUCAAAUAGAGAGACAAAGAAAUAGGGAAGUGAGGAUCCACUGAAUUUUGAUCUUAAAAAUUUUAUGGUAAUUUCUUUUUAAUUAAAAUUUUGUUUAAAUAUAGGGUAAUUUUGUAAUUCCUGUUGUGGGUCAGUGGUAACGAACCUAACUGGUAUCCGCAAGGAUGCAGGUUCAGUCCCUGGCCCGGCUCAGUAGGUUAAGGAUCAGGCAUUGCCGUGAGCUGCGGUGUAAAUUGCAGAGGGGGCUCAGAUCCUGCAUUGCUGUGGCUGUGACAUAGGCUUGUGGCUGCAGCUCCGAUUCAACCCCUAGCCUGGGAACCUCCAUAUGCCGCAGGUGUGGCCCUAAAAAGCAAAAAAAAAAAAAAAAAAAAAAAAAAAAAAAAAAAAAAA